UAUCAGCUAUGGUCACAGAUAUUAUGCAAGGUAAUGAAAUAGCUGUUGGUGGUAGUAAUAUCGUAGAGAUGGAUUAUAUUUGGAAAUAACUAUCCUUAAGUUAAAAUACAGAGCUAUGUGAUACCUCAAAACACUAGUGCAACAGUGUUUUUGAUUAUGCCUACUCUAUUUGGGGAAGCAGAAGAGAAGAUAAAGAAGCCUUAAGCAUUUUUUCGAAGGAACUUUAAUGCUUUUUUCUUUAUCCCUGCUCAAGUGUUACUAGCAAAGUUAGAAUUGGGAGGAGAAUCUUAGUUUUUGAGAUCAUACCAGGCAGAAAGUUGGUAAGACUCCUAUUUAAGAUGAAAAGUUGGAUGAAGUGAUGUGACUCUGUCAUAACAGCUAUCUGCAAGAAGCGUAAAUAGGAUUGUAGCCCAGUCUGGCCUAGACAUAAAAGGGAAUACCUAUAUGAAAAA